AUUGAACGCUGGCGGCAGGCUUAACCCAUGCAAGUCGAACGAGUGGCGGACGGGUGAGUAAUGCUUGGGAAUCUGGCUUAUGGAGGGGGAUAACUACGGGAAACUGUAGCUAAUACCGCGUACCAUAGGAUGAGCCCAAGUGGGAUUAGGUAGUUGGUGAGGUAAAGGCGCACCAAGCCGACGCGCCCUAGCUGGUCUGAGAGGAUGACCCGCCAACCUGGGACUGAGACACGGCCCAGACUCCUACGGGAGGCAGCAGUGGGGAAUAUUCGGCAAGGGAGGCAACCUGACGCAGCCAUGCCGCGUGAAUGAAGAAGGCCUUCGGGUUGUAAAGUUCUUUCGGUAGCGAGGCGUUAACUACAGAAGAAGCACCGGCUAACUCCGUGCCAGCAGCCGCGGUAAUAC
rnacentral:rRNA from 1 species